GCGCAGCAGUCGAGAAUUUUUCACAAUGGGGGAAACCCUGAUGGAGCGACGCCGCGUGGAGGAUGAAGGUAUUCGUAUCGUAAACUCCUGUCAAACGGGAACAAGAAAGUGAUAGUACCGUUAGAGGAAGAGACGGCUAACUCUGUGCCAGCAGCCGCGGUAAUACAGAGGUCUCAAGCGUUGUUCGGAUUCAUUGGGCGUAAAGGGUGCGCAGGCUGUGGGGUAAGUCGGAUGUGAAAUUUAGGGGCUCAACCCCUAAACUGCAUUCGAUACUGCUCCGCUAGAGGACUGUAGAGGAGAUUGGAAUUCACGGUGUAGCAGUGAAAUGCGUAGAUAUCGUGAGGAAGACCAGUGGCGAAGGCGAAUCUCUGGGCAGUUCCUGACGCUCAUGCACGAAGGCCAGGGGAGCGAAACGGGAUUAGACUACCCCCGUAGU
rnacentral:rRNA from 1 species